ACUUGAUCUCAAACCAGAUAAGAGUACCCGCUGAACUUAAGCAUAUCAAUAAGCGGAGGAAAAGAAACUAACAAGGAUUCCCUUAGUAACGGCGAGUGAAGCGGGAAGAGCUCAAAUUUGAAAUCUUCAAGGUUCUACCUUGACGAAUUGUAGUUUAAAGAAGUGUUUUCUGUUAGAUGAGUAGCAAAAGUUCCUUGGAAUGGGACAUCAUAGAGGGUGAGAAUCCCGUAUUUGGUUAUUCAUUCUAGCUUUGUGAUACACUUUCAAAGAGUCGGAUUGUUUGGGAAUGCAGUCCAAAAUGGGUGGUAAAUUUCAUCUAAAGCUAAAUAUUGGCGAGAGACUGAUAGCGAACAAGUACCGUGAGGGAAAGAUGAAAAGAACUUUGAAAAGAGAGUUAAACAGUACGUGAAAUUGUCAAAAGGGAAGCGUUUGACACCAGUGUUGUUCUUCCGAAAAUCAAUUACGAAUGGCUUGAUUCUGUGUUGUAUUGACCUUAUCAGCUUUCUUCACUUUUUUCGAGUCUUUCUUAAUGCACUUUUCGGUUAACAAGUCAACAUCAAUUUCUUUUGUUGUAAAAGAGUAUUCGGAAGGUGGCUUUCUUUUCGGAGAAAGUGUUUAUAGCCCUAUACUUCUACAAUCGGAGAGAUUGAGGUCUGCAGCGUAGAUCCUUCGGGGUUAGAUACACUUGUGCUAAGUUGUAGCUUUUCAUAGACAACUUGUUGACUAUGUUUAGUCAUGCGGCUUACUCGCUUGUGCUAUUUUACCUACGCUUAGGAUGUUGACAAAAUGGUUUUAAACGACCCGUCUUGAAACACGGACC
rnacentral:rRNA from 1 species